CCGGCACGGGUGAGUAACACGUAUCCAACCUGCCGUCUACUCUUGGACAGCCUUCUGAAAGGAAGAUUAAUACAAAAUGGCAUCAUGAGUUCACAUGUUCACAUGAUUAAAGGUAUUCCGGUAGACGAUGGGGAUGCGUUCCAUUAGAUAGUAGGCGGGGUAACGGCCCACCUAGUCUUCGAUGGAUAGGGGUUCUGAGAGGAAGGUCCCCCACAUUGGAACUGAGACACGGUCCAA
rnacentral:rRNA from 1 species